GACGAACGCUGGCGGCGUGCUUAACACAUGCAAGUCGAACGGAAAGGCCCUGCUUUUGUGGGGUGCUCGAGUGGCGAACGGGUGAGUAACACGUGAGUAACCUGCCCUUGACUUUGGGAUAACUUCAGGAAACUGGGGCUAAUACCGGAUAGGAGCUCCUGCUGCAUGGUGGGGGUUGGAAAGUUUCGGCGGUUGGGGAUGGACUCGCGGCUUAUCAGCUUGUUGGUGGGGUAGUGGCUUACCAAGGCUUUGACGGGUAGCCGGCCUGAGAGGGUGACCGGCCACAUUGGGACUGAGAUACGACCCAGACUCCUACUGGAGGCAGCAGUGACGAAUAUUACACAAUGGGCGGAAGCCUGAUGCAGCAACGCCGCGUGCGGGAUGACGGCCUUCGGGUUGUAAACCGCUUUCGCCUGUGACGAAGCGUGAGUGACGGUAAUGGGUAAAGAAGCACCGGCUAACUACGUG
rnacentral:rRNA from 1 species